rnacentral:rRNA from 1 species
AGUGAACGCUGGCGGUAGGCCUAACACAUGCAAGUCGAACGGCAGCACAGUAAGAGCUUGCUCUUACGGGUGGCGAGUGGCGGACGGGUGAGGAAUACAUCGGAAUCUACUUUUUCGUGGGGGAUAACGUAGGGAAACUUACGCUAAUACCGCAUACGACCUACGGGUGAAAGCAGGGGAUCUUCGGACCUUGCGCGAUUGAAUGAGCCGAUGUCGGAUUAGCUAGUUGGCGGGGUAAAGGCCCACCAAGGCGACGAUCCGUAGCUGGUCUGAGAGGAUGAUCAGCCACACUGGAACUGAGACACGGUCCAGACUCCUACGGGAGGCAGCAGUGGGGAAUAUUGGAAAAUGGGCGCAAGCCUGAUCCAGCCAUACCGCGUGGGUGAAGAAGGCCUUCGGGUUGUAAAGCCCUUUUGUUGGGAAAGAAAAGCAGCAGGUUAAUACCCCGCUGUUCUGACGGGACCCAAAGAAUAAGCACCGGCUAACUUCGU